GAUGAACGCUGGCGGCGUGCCUAAUACAUGCAAGUCGAGCGAACGGACGAGAAGCUUGCUUCUCUGAUGUUAGCGGCGGACGGGUGAGUAACACGUGGAUAACCUACCUAUAAGACUGGGAUAACUUCGGGAAACCGGAGCUAAUACCGGAUAAUAUUUUGAACCGCAUGGUUCAAAAGUGAACGACGGUCUUGCUGUCACUUAUAGAUGGAUCCGCGCUGCAUUAGCUAGUUGGUAAGGUAACGGCUUACCAAGGCAACGAUGCAUAGCCGACCUGAGAGGGUGAUCGGCCACACUGGAACUGAGACACGGUCCAGACUCCUACGGGAGGCAGCAGUAGGGAAUCUUCCGCAAUGGGCGAAAGCCUGACGGAGCAACGCCGCGUGAGGGAUGAAGGUCUUCGGAUCGUAAAACUCUGUUAUUAGGGAAGAACAUAUGUGUAAGUAACUGUGCACAUCUUGACGGUACCUAAUCAGAAAGCCACGGCUAACUACGUG
rnacentral:rRNA from 1 species